GGCCCGACGUAAUCGUAAGCUGCUCUGCAGGCUUAGUAAAAUCGAUGAAACCAUCGGAAUUUCGGUCGUGACGCUUUUAAGUAGCGGGCUCCACGGUGCGCUAAUACGGAGAACCAGUUUGCGUAACUUCUGUCAGUCUGAAGCACUGCCUGAUGGCGUUCUGGUGCAGAAGAAGGUCUAACCUGGCCCAGAGGUUAACCAUCCAGACUCGUAACCGGCUUGAGGAGGAGCGUACACCUCCAUACGCCUUCGCAGGCUUGCCCAUAUUUGCGCUAGCAGUGAAUUCUGUCCCGUUGGGUCUUUCUGACCGGCCUGCCGGCUUUCCAGGAGAG